rnacentral:rRNA from 1 species
CCUACGGGUGGCAGCAGUGAGGAAUAUUGGUCAAUGGACGAGAGUCUGAACCAGCCAAGUAGCGUGAAGGAUGACUGCCCUAUGGGUUUUAAGCUUCUUUUAUAUGGGAAUAAAACGUUCCACGUGUGGGAUUUUGUAUGUACCAUAUGAGUAAGGAUCGGCUAACUCCGUGCCAGCCGCCGCGGUAAUACGGAGGGUCCGAGCGUUAUCCGGAUUUAUUGGGUUUAAGGGGAGCGUAGGUGGAUUGUUAAGUCAGUUGUGAAAGUUUGCGGCUCAACCGUAAAAUUGCAGUUGAAACUGGCAGUCUUGAGUACAGUAGAGGGGGGCAGAAUUCGUGGUGUAGCGGUGAAAUGCUUAGAGAUCACGAAGAACUCCGAUUGCGAAGGCAGCUCACUGGACUGCAACUGACACUGAGGCUCGAAAGUGUGGGUAGCAAACAGGAUUAGAUACCCCAGUAGUC